rnacentral:tRNA from 1 species
GGAGAGGUGCUCGAGUGGUUGAAGAGGCACGCCUGGAAAGCGUGUAUACCUUUGCGGGUAUCGAGGGUUCGAAUCCCUCUCUCUCCG